UGAGCUUGAUCCUGGCUCAGGACGAACGCUGGCGGCGUGCUUAACACAUGCAAGUCGAGCGGUAAGGCCCUUCGGGGUACACGAGCGGCGAACGGGUGAGUAACACGUGGGUGAUCUGCCCUGCACUUCGGGAUAAGCCUGGGAAACUGGGUCUAAUACCGGAUAUGACCAAAGGCUGCAUGGCUUUUGGUGGAAAGGUUUACUGGUGCAGGAUGGGCCCGCGGCCUAUCAGCUUGUUGGUGGGGUAAUGGCCUACCAAGGCGACGACGGGUAGCCGACCUGAGAGGGUGACCGGCCACACUGGGACUGAGACACGGCCCAGACUCCUACGGGAGGCAGCAGUGGGGAAUAUUGCACAAUGGGCGAAAGCCUGAUGCAGCGACGCCGCGUGAGGGAUGAAGGCCUUCGGGUUGUAAACCUCUUUCAGCAGGGACGAAGCGAAAGUGACGUACCUG
rnacentral:rRNA from 1 species